rnacentral:rRNA from 1 species
UACGUAGGGCGCGAGCGUUGUCCGGAAUUAUUGGGCGUAAAGAGCUCGUAGGUGGUUUGUUGCGUCUGCCGUGAAAACCCGAGGCUUAACCUCGUGGCUUGCGGUGGAUACGGGCAGACUUGAGGUAGGUAGGGGAGAAUGGAAUUCCCGGUGUAGCGGUGAAAUUCGUAGAUAUCGGGAGGAACACCGGUGGCGAAGGCGGCGAUCUGGGUCGAUACUGACGCUGAGGUGCGAAAGCGUGGGGAGCAAACAGG